AUGAUGGGUGCCCCAGAGUUGUUAUUAUGACAAACCAGGACGAGGUGUGCAGAUAGAGAGGCUUACACUCGCUCUUUCUCACCCUUCCACAGGCCAACAUUACAGGCUGGCUGCACGAGGCUCUGCAGACGGACAGGGCGGGCGGGCAGAAAGAUAUGGAGCCAGAUACUGAUCAAGAUGGCUACUACCAGAAUACUAUUCUGAAUAUAGUCUUCCAGAUCGACAAGACCUUCAAAGAGCAGGUGCUGAAGCUAUGUUUAAAAUGGAGAAACUAAUUCCUCAUUAGGGAGAUGACAUCGAGAGGAAAAAUAUCUCCAAGGAGGGGAGUAGACCUACAUGUUUACAUUUCCAUGCAAAAGGACCCAUGAGCACCAACGUGAACUUCAUAGGAGCAUGUCAAAUUGGCAGUGGCGACGGUCAUUCAGGGCAUGUUUAGCCCAAAAUAUAUAAUAAUAAUAACAUUUAUUCUGUUUUGCAUGUUAUUUUGGCAUUAAUACAUGUCACAUAUCAGUUUGCAAACAAUGUAAAAUAAAUUAACAAUUGAGUUAAUAA